GUAAUGUAUGAAAGGAGAGGUUAGCAACCCCUGUGGCAAAGAUGGAAGAGGACUAUAGGCCAACAAGAUAUGUGUGGUUGCGACCAAGUCUCUUGCUUUGACAUAGAAAAUUACUGUUCUCC